rnacentral:lncRNA from 1 species
AAAUUUUUAACUUUCUUUAUAAUCAUAUAAUGUGUGUUACAAAAAUUCCGUUGUAUAAAAAAUACUCUCAUUUUUUCAAUAAAUGAAUAAAAUCCAAUUACAUCUCUCCUAAGCAACCACUUGAUCGAGUUUUACAUUUUGCCUUGUAAGACAUUUACGGGUUUCUUCUUAAAGAGCCUAGAAUUUGGAAACCGAGCCUGAGUAGCAGGGGUAAGAGUGGGAGAAGAGAAGCAAACAACAAUAGCAGUGAGAUUAUCAGCCGAGUGAAGGCGUGAGGCUUGAGCAAUGAGCUCUUUAGCACAGCGUUGAGGGUCGUUAUGCUGCCUUAAUUGACACCGAACAAGAGCCACUGCUUCUUGGUUUGACAUGACAUCCCAUAUCCCAUCACAUGCAAUUAUCAUAAACUCAUCAUUAUCGGUCAACACCGUUUGUCUUACAUCUGGUUCAGCAAUCACCAACUUCUCCUUCUUCAUGUGCCAGUCUCCAAGCGCACGCGUCACACUUAGUUGACCGUUGAGAUACCCGUCUUCGUCAAAAUAGCCACCCAACCGCUCACAUCUUUCCUUUUCUUGUAAACAAGUCGACCCCCUGUGGUCUUGAGUCAUCUGUGUUGCAGACCCGUUCCUACAUAGGACUGCACGAGAGUCACCAGCAUUCGCUAUUAUAACAUGUCUUCCCACGAUCAAAACAGUUAAAGCUGUCGUCCCACAAUAGUCGCUCACACUGCAUUCAUCAGCUAAGGCUAAGUCAGCCUGUAAAAACGCUUUGUUAUGAGACUCUUCCACUUGUCUUAAGAACAAAUCAUCUGCAUCUGAAGCGCCAGUUGGUGCUGCUUGUGGUAGAUCGGAACCCUCAAAGAAUAACCUCAUGGCGUGUUCUUUAACAUAAGAUGCAGCCUCCGACCCGUUAUGGCCAUCAAAUAAAGCAUAGAAUGAACUCGCGAGACCCCAUUUGUAAGCAUCACCCAGAUGCUUUGACAGAUCAUCGAUCAUGAUAUGUUCGUCUUCAUUUAAUCUGCGUGAAACUCCUUGCAGUAGACUCCACAACGGUAUUACUCUUGAUAUUCACAGAGCAGCUUACAGCCUAAACAACAGAUAA